rnacentral:rRNA from 1 species
ACGAACGCUGGCGGCGUGCUUAACACAUGCAAGUCGAACGGAAAGGCCCUGCUUUUGUGGGGUGCUCGAGUGGCGAACGGGGGAGUAACACGGGAGUAACCUGCCCUUGACUUUGGGAUAACUUCAGGAAACUGGGGCUAAUACCGGAUAGGAGCUCCUGCUGCAUGGUGGGGGUUGGAAAGUUUCGGCGGUUGGGGAUGGACUCGCGGCUUAUCAGCUUGUUGGUGGGGUAGUGGCUUACCAAGGCUUUGACGGGUAGCCGGCCUGAGAGGGUGACCGGCCACAUUGGGACUGAGAUACGGCCCAGACUCCUACGGGAGGCAGCAGUGGGGAAUAUUGCACAAUGGGCGGAAGCCUGAUGCAGCAACGCCGCGUGCGGGAUGACGGCCUUCGGGUUGUAAACCGCUUUCGCCUGUGACGAAGCGUGAGUGACGGUAAUGGGUAAAGAAGCACCGGCUAACUACGUG